UGGGAUGCGAUUGUAUUCCUUUUAUGCAUGUUUUACUUUAUUUUAUAUGAUUACGGUUGAAUUGGGAAACUGAAAAUUAAAGGUAAAUGAAAAAUUGUUUGAUUAAGUAAAUGGAUAAAACGAAAGUCUUACUGGAUAUCUUGAGAUAUGGUGGACGGACCGGAUACAUAGGAAACUCUAUCGUGAACGUUGCCUCAUGCCGGAUAGGGUAU
rnacentral:lncRNA from 1 species